UACGUAGGUGGCAAGCGUUGUCCGGAAUUAUUGGGCGUAAAGCGCGCGCAGGCGGUUCCUUAAGUCUGAUGUGAAAGCCCACGGCUCAACCGUGGAGGGUCAUUGGAAACUGGGGAACUUGAGUGCAGAAGAGGAGAGUGGAAUUCCACGUGUAGCGGUGAAAUGCGUAGAGAUGUGGAGGAACACCAGUGGCGAAGGCGACUCUCUGGUCUGUAACUGACGCUGAGGCGCGAAAGCGUGGGGAGCGAACACG
rnacentral:rRNA from 1 species